rnacentral:rRNA from 1 species
UACAGAGGGUGCGAGCGUUAAUCGGAAUUAUUGGGCGUAAAGGGCGCGUAGGUGGUUGAGAAAGUUAGAGGUGAAAUCCCUGGGCUUAACCUAGGAAUGGCCUCUAAAACUCCUUGACUGGAGUACAGUAGAGGGUAGUGGAAUUUCCGGUGUAGCGGUGAAAUGCGUAGAGAUCGGAAGGAACAUCAGUGGCGAAGGCGGCUACCUGGACUGAUACUGACACUGAGGCGCGAAAGCGUGGGGAGCAGACAGG